UUAUUCGUACGCAAGGAGAGGGUCAGAAAUAUAGUACAGUACAAAAGAGAAGUGCACUAGUUCUUCGGAGAGAGUCAGAAAGAUUUUACAGUACGAAAGAGAAGUGCACCUGAGAGGGUCAGAGAGAUAGUACGGUACUGUACACAAGAGAGUGAACCAGUUACUCGUACACAAGGAUUGGGUCAGAAAGAUAUUACAGUGAAAAAGAGAA